rnacentral:rRNA from 1 species
UACGGCGGGGGCUAGCGUUGUUCGGAAUUACUGGGCGUAAAGCGCACGUAGGCGGCUUUGCAAGUUAGAGGUGAAAGCCCCGGGCUCAACCUGGGAACUGCAUUUGAGACUGCUCUGCUCGGGUGCGGAAGAGGGAAGCGGAAUUUCCGGUGUAGCGGUGAAAUGCGUAGAUAUCGGAAGGAACACCAGUGGCGAAAGCGGCUUCCUGGUCCGACACCGACGUUCAGGCACGAAAGCGUGGGGAGCAAACAGG